GACGAACGCUGGCGGCGUGCUUAACACAUGCAAGUCGAGCGGAAAGGCCUCUUCGGGGGUACUCGAGCGGCGAACGGGUGAGUAACACGUGAGUAAUCUGCCCUUCACUUUGGGAUAACUCUCGGAAACGGGAGCUAAUACCGGAUAUGACCAUCUUGGGCAUCUUGGGUGGUGGAAAGUUUUUUCGGUGGGGGAUGUGCUCGCGGCCUAUCAGCUUGUUGGUGGGGUAAUGGCCUACCAAGGCUUUGAC
rnacentral:rRNA from 1 species